CGACGCCGCGUGAACGAUGAAGGCUUUCGAGUCGUAAAGUUCUGUUCUUGGGGAAGAUAACGACGGUACCCAAGGAGAAAGCACCGGCUAAAUACGUGCCAGCAGCCGCGGUAAUACGUAUGGUGCAAGCGUUGUCCGGAAUUACUGGGCGUAAAGAGUUCGUAGGCGGUUAGAUUAGUCGGAAGUGAAAGGCUACGGCUCAACCGUAGUAAGCUUUUGAAACUGUCUAACUUGAGUACUGGAGAGGAAAGCGGAAUUCCUAGUGUAGCGGUGAAAUGCGUAGAUAUUAGGAAGAACACCAGUGGCGAAGGCGGCUUUCUGGACAGUAACUGACGCUGAGGAACGAAAGCGUGGGGAGCGAACAGGAUUAGAUACCCUGGUAGUCCACGCCGUAAACGAUGAGAACUAGGUGUUGGGGGUCGAACCUCAGUGCCGCAGCUAACGCAGUAAGUUCUCCGCCUGGGGAGUACGAUCGCAAGAUUGAAACUCAAAGGAAUUGACGGA
rnacentral:rRNA from 1 species